rnacentral:lncRNA from 1 species
GUCAUUCUUUCACUGAUUCAGGACAAAACCUGACAAGUGUCACAAUAAUUUACACCUGGACUUCCCAAAAAAUAAUGCACUGCUAAAGGGAUGUUAUUGGGAGGUUUGUGUACAUUUUAUUACAUGUUUAAUGCGCUGAAUUCAUAACAUUUGUGUGAUUUAUAUGAAAGUAAAACAAAUUUUGUUCAUUUUUAGUAUUUUUGUGUACUGGGGCAUGAAAAAGGG